rnacentral:tRNA from 1 species
GCUUGAGUAGCUCAGUUGGUAGAGCAGUUGAUUCGUAAUCAACAGGUCGUGGGUUCGAGUCCCUUCUCAAGCU